rnacentral:lncRNA from 1 species
GGAAAAAGAAAAUAUUUGCCUUUAAGCUCUGGAGAAGAGCUAUCCUCUCCUUGACUGCCCCUUCGAGUCCUCAGGUCUGGGGAUUUUACCUCCCUCCACCAGAACAAAGCUCCCUUUAGAGUUUAGGAAACCUUGUGGCCAGACUAGAGUGGGAAGAUUAAAAUGGCAAUUGCAAUGGAAUUGAACUUAAUGCGGGAACCACAGAUCCUGUGUUUCUACAACCUUAGAGGACGAAUUGAAAUCAGCAUAGAUAAACCUGGAGUAUUGAGGACUGGGCAAUCAGGAAUAUUUAAAAUGCGAAUAAGCUUCUUGUCUUUAAAAAUGUUUUUAAGAAGAGUUGCAGUGGUUUCGUUCACUUAGUCUAUUUUGUGGAUUCAAAGGGACAUUUAAGAGGACAGCAUGGGUGUCCCCUAUUAUAUCGUUGUGUUAAAAGGAGAUGGGCCUGGAGUCAGACUGCCUAGAUCCCAGCUCUGCCUCUCAUUAGUUGUGUGAACUUAGUCAAAGUACUGAGAUUUCAAAGCUCAGUUUCCUCUUCUGAUAAAUAAGGAUAAGAAGAGAACCUUAGAGAACUGUUAUGAGGAUUAAAUAAGAUAAUGCAUGUGAAAUUGUUAGCAUAGGCUUUACGCAUGGCACUCUGCUGUAAGUAUCAUUAAAAGCCUUCCAAAAUUCCCUUACAGCAGAAAGCAAGUAGUACUGGAUCCUUUUGGCUUUUGCUGGGUAAUGGCAAGAGCACUGUCUUGCUCUUCCACACUCCCCUUUUCUCAGUCCCUUUGCCCUCAAUCCCUUCAUCCUUCACCUCCCUCAUAUGGGUCUUAUCCGAAACUUUAGGACUUUGCCUCGAGCUUGAGGAGAGGUAAUGCAUAUGUUACCAGAAAGGGGGUCCAAUACAGACCCCAAGAGAGAGUUCUUGGAUCUUGCACAAGAAAGAAUUUGAGGUGAAUCCAUAAAAUGAAAGCAAGUUUAUUAAGACUGUAAAGGAAUAAAAGGGCUAUUUCAUAGGCAGAGCAGUGGCAUGGGCUGCCUGGCUGAGUAUAGUUAUAGUUAUUUCUUGAUUAUAUGCUAAACAAGGGAUGGAUUAUUCAUGAGAUGUUCAGGAAAGGGGCAGAUGAUUCCCAGAACUGAGGGCUCCUCCUGCUUUUAGAACAUAUAGGGUAACUUCUGGAUGUGGCCAUGGAAUUUGUAAACUGUCAUGGUGCUAGUGGGAGUGUAUUUUAGGCUGCUAAUAUAUUAUAAUUAGCAUAUAAUGAACAGCUGAGACAGCCAAAGAUCACUUUCAUUGCCAUCUUGGUUUUGGUAGGUUUUGGACGGCUUCUUUAUUGCAUCCUGUUUUAUCAGCAAGGUCUUUGUGACCUGUACCUUGUGCUUACUCCUAUCUCAUCCUGUGACUAAGAACACCUGCUGUCCUGGGAAUGCAGCCCAGUAGGUCUCAGUCUUAUUUAUUUAUUUAUUUAUUUUGAGACGGAGUUUCACUCUUGUCACCCAGGCUGGAGUGCAAUGGCGCGAUCUUGGCUCAUUGUAACCUCUGCUUCCUGGGUCCAAGCACUUCUCCUGCCUCAGCCUCCAGAGUAGCUGGGAUUACAGGCAUGCGCCACCAUGCUGGCUAAUUUUUUAUAUUUUUAGUAGAGAUGGGGUUUCACCAUGUUGGCCAGGCUGGUCUCAAACUCCUGACCUCAGGUGAUCCACCUGACUUGGCCUCCCAAAGUGCUGGGAUUACAGGUGUGAGUCACUGCGCCCGGCCAGUCUCAGGCUUAUUUUACUCAGCCUCUAUUGAAGAUGGAGUCACCUGGUCCAAAUGCUUCUGAUACAUUGAAGAGUAACUUAUACUCUUUUCCCAAAUUCUACUGAACAAACCUUUAGAAGAGUGAAGGAUUUUUCUAGAAUGUAAACCUAAUUCAUUAUAGAAAAUUGAAGUAGGACCCUGUAAGGCUAUCUGUGGGCUCUCAUGGGGUGUGUGUGUGUGUGUGUGUGUGUGUGUGUGUGUGUUGGAGAAGUGGUAGUGAAGAUGAUGGUUGUGAUGAUGGAGAAUGAAAAUUGCAACUACUGUGUGCAGUACCAUGACUGCCAUUACACCUUAAUUUUGGAACAGAGUUCCAGAAGCUUUUAUGCUCUCAGAGGUGAAAUGCAUAAUAUGCAUUUAUCAUUAUCAUGGCUCUUUUGUGAUCCCUGAACAAUAGAUGAAUGAAGAGCUCCUGAAUGAAUUUCUAAUUGAAAUGGCUUUUUCAGUAGGGGCUUUCCAUUUGCUUCCAGCUUCCUCCAGGUUGUCAGUCCUCUCUUUAUUUGUAAGUUUUAAUACUAUUUUUGAAAGCAGGAUAACACCCAUCAGAGCUGCAGCAGUCCAGUUGUGCAAGGCAUUUAAUGCCCAGUCACGCAGUCUGAAUCCAACCUGAAGUCUGCUUGUCAAGCCAUUAGCCUUAUCCCUGUGGCGUCUGCAUGGAGAAGGAAAGCCUUUUUUACCUCCAAAUUCUCACAAAAAUCCAGCGUGGGAUAGUGCAGUCCUCCCCAUUUAGCCAUCUGAUGCUCUCCCCUCUCUGAGGGUAAUACUGAAGCACACACAGCAUACUGGACUGUGCCACCCCGCUGAGCUCAAGCUUACAUUGCAAGAAGCUGCAGAUCUGUUAAUGCACUUUCAAACCCAUGCACUGCCUUCUCUUUUGCUUAUCCCUGAAGGGAAGUAUUUUUAGUCCCAGAUGCUGGAACUACUGUGAUUCAAAACCUUUUAGUAACUUUAUUUGGAAUGCUGAUGAGUUAAAACCAGAAUUAAACAAAACUAGGAAAUAUUUUUAAAGUAACAUUUAAUGAAUACACAUUUAUAAAAGCCAUCAUCCCUUAACAUGGGGAAAGUGUACAAAAAUAAUGUGAAAGUGUAAAAAUUUUU